rnacentral:tRNA from 1 species
GCCUCUGUAGCUUAAUUAAAGCACAACACUGAAGAUGUUAAGAUGGUCCUUAGACCGCCCCAGAGACA